GUCCAUCUGAUUCCUGCAUACAGGCAGAAACUAAAGCUCUGCAAACCUGUGGUGAGGGAAUUUAAGAAGUGGACCAGUGAGGCGCUGAAGGAUCUUCGGGCGUGCUUUGACUGCACAGACUGGGAUGUUUUCAGGACGGCUACUGACAGUCUGGAUGAGUUCACAGAGGCUGUAACUUCCUACAUCGGCUUCUGUGAGGACAGCUGUGUACCAUCAUGCACCAGGGUGAGUUACAACAACGACAAACCCUGGUUCACAGCGGAACUCAGAACACUAGGCGUGCAGAAGGAUCAGGCAUUUGGGAGUGGGGACAAAGACUUGUACACAGAGUCAAAAUACAAGUUUAGCAAGGCGGUGAGAGAUGCUAAACGACUGUACUCUGAGAAACUCCAACAACAGUUCUCAGCAAGUGACUCUGCUUCGGUUUGGAGAGGCCUCAAACACCUCACAAACUACAAGCCAAAAACCCCCCACUCCAUGAAUGACCUCCGCCUGGCAGACGAACUGAAUGAGUUCUACUGCAGAUUCGAAAGACAAUGUCCUGAUCCCAUCCUCCACAGCUCCACCAACCUGCUGCAGUCCCCCAACCCUCCCUCCCCCAGCCGAUCAGAUCGUGACCCGGAAGUCGAAAGAGACUGCUGGGAGCCUGGCCGGCAGAAAACAAACAAACAACGCUAUGGACAACACAAGAGUCCCUAGUAGAGCACAACGGCGUAGAUUCGGGUGUUCGGUUGCCAACUACAAUGGAUACUACAAUGGACCCGGAAGAGACGCUGCUCGGAGGCUCAUCUGGAACCUCCUCACCUAGGUCAACUCCACCACCUUCUACUCCACUGCGUGCUACAAUUACCGAUGAUCUACCUGGAACAAGGACCCAGCAAACAAGGCGAAUGAGAGACGUCGAUGUGCUGGUGAACCAGAUGCAAGUCAUGACUCAUCAAUGGACGGAGGACAUGGCAAGAAGUGAG
ensembl:lncRNA